UACGUAGGGCGCAAGCGUUGUCCGGAAUUAUUGGGCGUAAAGAGCUCGUAGGCGGCUUGUCACGUCGGAUGUGAAAGCCCGAGGCUUAACCUCGGGUCUGCAUUCGAUACGGGCUAGCUAGAGUGUGGUAGGGGAGAUCGGAAUUCCUGGUGUAGCGGUGAAAUGCGCAGAUAUCAGGAGGAACACCGGUGGCGAAGGCGGAUCUCUGGGCAACAACUGACGCUGAGGAGCGAAAGCGUGGGGAGCGAACAGG
rnacentral:rRNA from 1 species